UAGGAAGGCAGCAGUGGGGAAUAUUGCACAAUGGGCGCAAGCCUGAUGCAGCCAUGCCGCGUGUAUGAAAAAGGCCUUCGGGUUGUAAAGUACUUUCAGUCGUGAGGAAGGUGUUAAGGUUAAUAACCUUAGCAAUUGACGUUAGCGACAGAAGAAGCACCGGCUAACUCCGUGCCAGCAGCCGCGGUAAUACGGAGGGUGCGAGCGUUAAUCGGAAUUACUGGGCGUAAAGGGCACGCAGGCGGUUAAUUAAGUUGGAUGUGAAAUCCCCGGGCUUAACCUGGGAAUGGCAUUCAAGACUGGUUAGCUAGAGUCUUGUAGAGGGGGUAGAAUUCCAUGUGUAGCGGUGAAAUGCGUAGAGAUGUGGAGGAAUACCGGUGGCGAAGGCGGCCCCUGGACAAAGACUGACGCUCAUGUGCGAAAGCGUGGGGAGCAAACAGGGAUUAGAUACC
rnacentral:rRNA from 1 species